rnacentral:rRNA from 1 species
AUUGAACGCUGGCGGCAGGCCUAACACAUGCAAGUCGAAUGGUAACAGGAAACAGCUUGCUGUUUCGCUGACGAGUGGCGGACGGGUGAGUCAUGUCUGGGAAACUGCCUGAUGGAGGGGGAUAACUACUGGAAACGGUAGCUAAUACCGCAUAACGUCGCAAGACCAAAGAGGGGGACCUUCGGGCCUCUUGCCAUCAGAUGUGCCCAGAUGGGAUUAGCUAGUAGGUGGGGUAACGGCUCACCUAGGCGGCGAUCCCUAGCUGGUCUGAGAGGAUGACCAGCCACACUGGAACUGAGACACGGUCCAGACUCCGACGGGAGGCAGCAGUGGGGAAUAUUGCACAAUGGGCGCAAGCCUGAUGCAGCCAUGCUGCGUGUAUGAAGAAGGCCUUCGGGUUGUAAAGUACUUUCAGCGGGGAGGAAGGGAGUAAAGUUAAUACCUUUGCUCAUUGACGUUACCCGCAGAAGAAGCUCCGGCUAACUCCGUG